UGUUCCUCUGAGAUCGUCUUCAGCCAGAGAGAGGUUGUGUUUCCGGACAUUGGUCACCUAGGAAUGGUCCUGAGCGAUUGUUUGUUCCUUUGGCGUCCCACGUACCUAUAUGACAGAAAAUAGUAGAAACAACAUAUGGUGAUUUAAUUGGUUCAUGAUGGUAGUGUGAUAUCUCUAUAUGUGAUCAUUGUUUCCGGCACCUAGCCACUUCUUCUUGUAGUAGGUUAGUUUAUCCCGGCCAUUAUGAUGUAUGUUUCACGUCGAAAUCUUUAGAGGGUUUUUAUGUUUAAUCUCUUCUCCUUCUACCGCUAAAUAAUUGAUCUCAAAAUCUACUCAGAAAUAGGGUAUAUAAAGUACGG
rnacentral:lncRNA from 1 species